rnacentral:misc_RNA from 1 species
GAUGAAGAACGCAGCGAAAUGCGAUAAGUAAUGUGAAUUGCAGAAUUCCGUGAAUCAUCGAAUUUUUGAACGCACAUUGCGCCCCCUGGUAUUCCGGGGGGCAUGCCUGUCCGAGCGUCAUUACAACCCUCAAGCUCAGCUUGGUGUUGGGCCCCGCCGCCCCGGCGGGCCCUAAAGUCAGUGGCGGUGCCGUCCGGCUCCGAGCGUAGUAAUUCUUCUCGCUCUGGAGGUCCGGUCGUGUGCUCGCCAGCAACCCCCAAUUUUUUUCAGGUUGACCUCGGAUCAGGUAGGGAUACCCGCUGAACUUAAGCAUAUCAAUAAGCGGAGGA